rnacentral:rRNA from 1 species
GAUGAACGCUGGCGGUAUGCUUAACACAUGCAAGUCGAACGAACUCUUCGGAGUGAGUGGCGGACGGGUGAGUAACGCGUGAGAAUCUGGCUUUAGGUCUGGGACAACCACUGGAAACGGUGGCUAAUACCGGAUGUGCCCUUUGGGGUGAAAGGUUAACUGCCUGAAGAUGAGCUCGCGUCUGAUUAGCUAGUUGGUAGUGUAAUGGACUACCAAGGCGACGAUCAGUAGCUGGUCUGAGAGGACGAUCAGCCACACUGGGACUGAGACACGGCCCAGACUCCUACGGGAGGCAGCAGUGGGGAAUUUUCCGCAAUGGGCGAAAGCCUGACGGAGCAAUACCGCGUGAGGGAGGAAGGCUCUUGGGUCGUAAACCUCUUUUCUCAGGGAAGAACACAAUGACGGUACCUGAGGAAUAAGCAUCGGCUAACUCCGUGCCAGCAGCCGCGGUAAUACGGAGGAUGCAAGCGUUAUCCGGAAUGAUUGGGCGUAAAGCGUCCGCAGGUGGCAAUGUAAGUCUGCUGUUAAAGAGUCUAGCUCAACUAGAUACAAGCAGUGGAAACUACAUAGCUAGAGUGCGUUCGGGGCAGAGGGAAUUCCUGGUGUAGCGGUGAAAUGCGUAGAGAUCAGGAAGAACACCAGUGGCGAAGGCGCUCUGCUAGGCCGUAACUGACACUGAGGGACGAAAGCUAGGGGAGCGAAUGGGAUUAGAUACCCCAGUAGUCCUAGCCGUAAACGAUGGAUACUAGGCGUGGCUUGUAUCGACCCGAGCCGUGCCGUAGCUAACGCGUUAAGUAUCCCGCCUGGGGAGUACGCCGGCAACGGUGAAACUCAAAGGAAUUGACGGGGGCCCGCACAAGCGGUGGAGUAUGUGGUUUAAUUCGAUGCAACGCGAAGAACCUUACCAAGGCUUGACAUGUCGCGAAUCUUGAUGAAAGUUGAGAGUGCCUUCGGGAGCGCGAACACAGGUGGUGCAUGGCUGUCGUCAGCUCGUGUCGUGAGAUGUUGGGUUAAGUCCCGCAACGAGCGCAACCCUCGUUUUUAGUUGCCAGCAUUAAGUUGGGCACUCUAGAGAGACUGCCGGUGACAAACCGGAGGAAGGUGGGGAUGACGUCAAGUCAGCAUGCCCCUUACGCCUUGGGCUACACACGUACUACAAUGCUCCGGACAGAGGGCAGCAAGCCAGCGAUGGCAAGCAAAUCCCGUAAACCGGAGCUCAGUUCAGAUCGCAGGCUGCAACUCGCCUGCGUGAAGGAGGAAUCGCUAGUAAUUGCAGGUCAGCAUACUGCAGUGAAUUCGUUCCCGGGCCUUGUACACACCGCCCGUCACACCAUGGAAGCUGGUAGUGCCCGAAGUCAUUACUUCAACCUUUCGGGGAGAAGGAUGCCUAAGGCAGGACUGGUGACUGGGGUGAAGUCGUAACAAGGUAGCCGUACCGGAAGGUGUGGCUGGAUCACCUCCUUUCAAGGAGACCUACACCCCUUAGAAAUCGA